UACGGAGGAUCCAAGCGUUAUCCGGAAUCAUUGGGUUUAAAGGGUCCGUAGGCGGUUUUAUAAGUCAGUGGUGAAAUCCGGUAGCUCAACUAUCGAACGGCCAUUGAUACUGUAGAACUUGAAUUAUUGUGAAGUAACUAGAAUAUGUAGUGUAGCGGUGAAAUGCUUAGAUAUUACAUGGAAUACCAAUUGCGAAGGCAGGUUACUAACAAUACAUUGACGCUGAUGAACGAAAGCGUGGGGAGCGAACAGG
rnacentral:rRNA from 1 species